CUACGGGCGGCUCCAGUGGGGAAUAUUGCACAAUGGAGGGAACUCUGAUGCAGCAACGCCGCGUGGAGGAUGACACAUUUCGGUGCGUAAACUCCUUUUAUAUAAGAAGAUAAUGACGGUAUUAUAUGAAUAAGCACCGGCUAACUCCGUGCCAGCAGCCGCGGUAAUACGGGGGGUGCAAGCGUUACUCGGAAUCACUGGGCGUAAAGCGCAUGUAGGCGGAUAAAAAAGUCAGAAGUGAAAUCCUAUAGCUCAACUAUAGAACUGCUUCUGAAACUCUUUAUCUAGAAUAUGGGAGAGAUAGAUGGAAUUUCUGGUGUAGGGGUAAAAUCCGUAGAGAUCAGAAGGAAUACCGAUUGCGAAGGCGAUCUACUGGAACAUUAUUGACGCUCAGAUGCGAAAGCGUGGGGAGCAAACAGGAUUAGAUACCCCGGUAGUC
rnacentral:rRNA from 1 species